GCCAGUGUGGCAUAAUGGUUUGAGUGUUGGACUAGGACUCUGGAGACCAGUGUUCGAAUCUCUACUCAGUCA